AUUGAAAUGCUGGUUAUAAUAAACUCAGAGUGGCCAUCAGCCCUCUCCGCAUCUAUCCUGAUGUGUACAUUGGAUUGCAACACCAACAUAUGGUGACCCCGACGUGAUCCUAGAUCAGCAGUAUUAUUGCAACAAAAGUAUGACCUCAGCUGACAUGAAGCCUGGCAAAGCAGAGGAUGUGGCAAAUGAAAGAAGAGCCCAUUGUGAAGUAAUGUGAGACAUAGUAUUUGAAAAGAUAUUGCUAAGACCAACAUCAAAGAGGAUACUGCUUAUACACUGCUGGUGAGAAUGCAAACUGGUGCAGCCACUGUGGAAAACAGUAUGCAGAUUCCUGAAAAAUAAGAAUAGAAAUACCAUAUGAUCAAGCUAUUUUACAUCUGGGUAUUUAUCCAAAGAAGAUGAAAACCUGAAUGCAUAAGGAUAUAUGCACCCCUAUGUUCACUGCAGCAUUAUUCACAAUAGCCAAGACUUGGAAACAAUCUAAGUGCCCAUCAAGGGAUGAAUGAAUAAAGAAGAUGUGGUAUAUAUAUAUAUGCAAUGGAAUACUACUCAGCUAUAAAAAAAGAUGAAAUCCAAUAUGGAUGGACCUUGAGGGUAUUACGUCGAGCAAAAUAAGUUGGAUGGAGAAAGUGAACUAUUGUAUGAUUUCACUCAUAAGUAGAAGAUAAAAACAACAGCAAUAACAAACAAACACAUAGAUACAGAGAUCAGAUUGGUGGUUAUCAGAGGGGAAGGGGGUGUGAGAAGCGUGAAAGAGGUGACAGAGCACAUGUGCAUGGUGAUGGAUAGUAAUUAGUCUUUGGGUGAUGAACAUGAUGUAGUCUAUACAGAAAUUGAAAUACAAUGAUGUACACCUGAAAUUAAUAUAAUGUUAUAAACCAGUGUUACCUCAAUAAAAAAUAAAUUAAAAGAAAAGUCAAUUAGUAUCUCACCAUACUACCUGUAAGAUCAUAUAUCCCUGUUGCCCAGAAAGCUGUAAAAAGGAGUCCUGUCUCUAUUGGAUACAGUGAAACAACUUAUUACUCUGAGGAGCAGAUCGUGUUGAUUACGACUCAGGUGAGAGCAGUACCAAAACCAGAAGCUUUGGACAAGACUAAAAUAUUGGAUUUUAGAUGAUGAUUUUAUCUCAGAGCCAGAUACUUAUUUAACAAUUAUUACCUCCCUUGGAGUUUUAACUUUUUUAAUACUAAUAACUGAAAACUGCAUCUAAAAAUUGUUAUGCUUUUAUUUUUGUAUCUAUUACAUCCUUUUUUCUCAUAACAAAAUAGGUAAGAGAGGGAUUAUUUCCCUCAAAAUGGGUAUGAAAUAAUUAAGACAAAGAAAUAAUAUUUAUAACUUAUAAAGAAUCUCAUAGUAACAACAAUAAGAUUAGGGCAGCUUAAAACAAGAGAGUUAUUACUCAAACUGAGCAAUGCCCAGAGAAUAAAAUCUAUAUAAUUAGGAGAUGGAGAAGAGUAUUAUUGCAGGAGAAAACUCAGACGAACAAAAGCUACUACUAUUUUCUAUGAAAAUUAACUCAAGACUUAUUGGCAGCCAAAGGAAAGAAGGAAAACCUAUGGACUCCGUAGGGUACAUCACUUAAAGGAAAGAAGGAUACCAAUACUUUGGGUGAGAGAAACGUGGACCAUAGAAGUUACAGAACUGAUCACAUGAAAUGUAUCAAGGAGAAAGUUUAAACAAAUAUAGAACCACACAACUCCAAAACUGGAAUGAAAUUCAGAUUUUUCUUUUUUAGGAAGAUUGGCCCUGAGCUAACAUUUGUUGCAAAUCUUCCUCUUUUUUUUUCCUCCCCAAAGCCCCAGUACAUAGUUGUAUAUCCUAGUUGCAGGUCAUUCUUGUUCUUCUGUGUGGGAUUCCACCAAGCAUGGCUUGAUGAGCUGUGUGUAGGUCCACACCCAGGAUCUGAACCUGUGAACCCCAGGCUGCCAAAUCAGAGCCCGUGAACUUAACCACUCUGCCACGGGGCCAGCCCCUCAGAUGUCUUUGAGUCAUCUAAUUUUACAAAGAGACUUGGGCACAGAGAAGGAAGAAAUUUCCUAAAAUCACUCAGGGCGUGAAAUGAAUAAUGCCAGGUUCAGGGGCUCAGAGUCCACCAAUCUGCCCAUGUUAUUACAUUACUUACUUUGAAAUUCACACAGUUCCUUCCUGGGGGAGGAAGAAGGAACCACAUGGGUCCCGACUCCUGACCCUGUGCUGAGAAUUCAAAAUACAGAAUGAAGCUGCUCAAAUUAAAGAAAGGCUCAAACAUCUUCCCUCUUUUUCUCUUUUAAGAAGUCUAAGUUUAGAGUGCUAUCUUUAGCUAAGUCUUGGUUGACAAGUAGAACUGAACGAAAAAUUAUAGGGCACAAAGUCUUUGCAACUCUCAAGGAAGAAUAUGACAAGGGAAUGAGAAGAAAAAUUUGCUUUGCAACAAUUUUAAUCAGAGAAACAGAAACAACAGUGUCUGUAGCAAAAACGAACAUUAAUUGGAUUCUGAGUGUAUGCCAGAGACUGUGCUAGGUACUUCACAGCCAUUCUCUCAUUUAAUCUUCAUAACACUCCUAUAAAGUAGGAUCCCCAUUUUAUAGAUAAGAAAACUGAGGCAAAGAGGUUAUAUACAUUUUCUAGAGAUAAAGAACUCUUAAGGGAUGAGGACAGAAUUUGAG
ensembl:lncRNA